UACUCCUACGGGAGGCAGCAGUGGGGAAUUUUGGACAAUGGGCGAAAGCCUGAUCCAGCCAUGCCGCGUGAGUGAAGAAGGCCUUCGGGUUGUAAAGCUCUUUCAGCCGGAAAGAAAACGCAUGGGUGAAUAAUCUGUGCGGAUGACGGUACCGGAAGAAGAAGCACCGGCUAACUACGUGCCAGCAGCCGCGGUAAUACGUAGGGUGCGAGCGUUAAUCGGAAUUACUGGGCGUAAAGCGUGCGCAGGCGGUUUUGUAAGACAGAUGUGAAAUCCCCGGGCUUAACCUGGGAACUGCAUUUGUGACUGCAAGGCUAGAGUACGGCAGAGGGGGGUAGAAUUCCACGUGUAGCAGUGAAAUGCGUAGAUAUGUGGAGGAAUACCGAUGGCGAAGGCAGCCCCCUGGGUCGAUACUGACGCUCAUGCACGAAAGCGUGGGGAGCA
rnacentral:rRNA from 1 species